rnacentral:rRNA from 1 species
CGAGUGGCGAACGGGUGAGUAAUAUAUCGGAACGUGCCCAGUAGUGGGGGAUAGCCCGGCGAAAGCCGGAUUAAUACCGCAUACGACCUGUGGGUGAAAGCGGGGGAUCGCAAGACCUCGCGCUAUUGGAGCGGCCGAUAUCAGAUUAGCUAGUUGGUGGGGUAAAGGCCUACCAAGGCGACGAUCUGUAGCUGGUCUGAGAGGACGACCAGCCACACUGGGACUGAUACACGGCCCAGACUCCUACGGGAGGCAGCAGUGGGGAAUUUUGGACAAUGGGCGCAAGCCUGAUCCAGCCAUGCCGCGUGUGGGAAGAAGGCCUUCGGGUUGUAAACCACUUUUGUCAGGGAAGAAACGGUUUGUCCUAAUACGGUGAACUAAUGACGGUACCUGAAGAAUAAGCACCGGCUAACUACGUGCCAGCAGCCGCGGUAAUACGUAGGGUGCAAGCGUUAAUCGGAAUUACUGGGCGUAAAGCGUGCGCAGGCGGCUUUGCAAGACAGAUGUGAAAUCCCCGGGCUCAACCUGGGAACUGCAUUUGUGACUGCAUGGCUAGAGUGCGGCAUAGGGGGAUGGAAUUCCGCGUGUAGCAGUGAAAUGCGUAGAUAUGCGGAGGAACACCGAUGGCGAAGGCAAUCCCCUGGGCCUGCACUGACGCUCAUGCACGAAAGCGUGGGGAGCAAACAGGAUUAGAUACCCUGGUAGUCCACGCCCUAAACGAUGUCAACUGGUUG